CACGUCGUACACCUUGAACCUCGGCGAGCUUCCCACCGCAACGCAGUUCACUCCGGCGUCUUUGAACUGGAAUAUUAUUGGGUUGCUCUCCCAAUCAUCGUUGCGUUUGUUGAUGACUUUCGCGUCGUGCGUUACUAUCGCUUUUUGAAUCAUCGCCGCGGCGAACUCCGGCGGGUUUGCGUAGAGGAGUCCGGCGGCGGUGACGGUGAAAAUGGCUUGAAUCAGGUUGCCGAAGUAGGACUCCGGCAUGGGAGGGUCGACCCUCUUGCGGCAGUCGGCGAAGACGGUGUAGACAGUGACGUCCUCGGGUUUGAGUUGGCGAGCGCGUGUCACCGCCAGCCACACGUGCGUGGAGAGCGAUUGGAAGGUGGAGAAGGGUUUGGAGCCGUCGGAUGGGGUUUUGUUGAGCGUGGACUUGAUCUGGUUGAUUUGAGAUUCCGAGAAUCGGAAGAUACGCUCACGGAGAAGCGGCGGUGGCCCCGCCGUGCCGUUCGGAGGGGCGGCUGCGGGGUUGAGAGGGAGGUCGAGCUUCACGCGCGUUUUGCGCGCUUUGGUGCGCUCGAGGAACGGUGGGACGGAGACGGAGUCGGCUCCGUUGCAGAUCUCGGCCCACGAGGUCAUGAAGUGCCACGUGGAGGUACCGUCGAGGAUCGCGUGGUUGAAAGCGCAUCCCAGUGCGAGUCCAUCUCUUAGCUUGGUGAACUGCGGAUCAUGACAGAAAAAUAAUUAGUUGGCUCACGGUAACAGACUCAAAAUUGGAGCCACGUGGAGGUUCAAGGGACGGUAACAGUGAGUAAUUGUCAUAAAUGCAUCUGUGGAUGCUUGCAUACUCGCGAAAGUAGUCUGUAGCUUCGGACUCGCUCUAGUAGACUGAAACCUGGAUUCUCCGUUUUCCAAUGCAAAAUGAAUGGCAGCUGGCACAUCUAAGUGUUUGAAACUUUUAUCUAGAGCAGUGCGUACGGGUAUUACCUAGAGCUGAACCUGCCUUUAUGACACUACCGUGGGCGCGAUACACCCAACCAUGCCUCCACCUUCAAAGCCUCAAAUUUUUACUUAUUUAUUUAUUUGUUUUAAAUUCAUUUAUUACCCAUUCUAUCAUAAUUAGAAAGAUAAAAAGAUAAUAAAAUAAAAUUAAAUUAAAAUGGGCUUUUAGGCCCACAACAAAGGCCCAAAAAAUUUCAUAAAUCAAAAAUACCCAUACCAUCAAUUUCUCAAAAAAGCAUAAGAAUAAAAUUAGGCAUGCCGUCCUUGUAUUAAUUGAAGUAGUUGAAUAACCUAGGAGGCUAGGACACGAAAUUUUCUUCUAGUCCAUGCUUUUCAACUAUUAGGAGAUCAUUCUUUUUGUACUAAAGAGGCAUAUAUGACUACUUUGAAUACAACAUUACGAGUAUGAAGUUUGGUAAGUGACAUGCCCCUACAAAGAUCCCAAAAAGGGAGAGUUCAUAAUAAAUAUUAAGAAUUUUAAAAUAAAAAUAAAAUAUUAUGUUCUUAAAUAUGCACAAAAUUAAACAAUUCCCAGCUUUAUCUUAACUAAUUUAUACCAUAUUAUAUAAAUAUUAUGCCAAAGGAUACGAUCUCUCCAUUCUCUGAUCAAAAACGUUUUCUAAAAUCAUUAUCAAACGUCAUUUUAAUCGAUAAUGUGAUAGAUAAUUUCUCGACUAUUAAUGAUAUAUUUGAUUUGGGAAAAAAAGAAAAAAAAAUACAAGGAAUAAUGUAAGUUUAUAUUUAGGAGAAAGAAGAAGAAGAAAUAAAUGUCCCUCUCCACAAAUGGAUCUACAUUUUGAUAUGAGACCUUGGUUUUAAGGUGGUGAAGUACAAUAAAUUCAUGGACAAUCAGCUUGGUAGGUGGGUAAAAUAAUGGGGAGAUGAUUACCUUCUUCUUAUCAUUUCUGUUUGGUUGGUGGGAUUUAGGAAACAUGACAAAAGAGAAAAUAAGUUAGAGCUGAUGCUAAUUUUUUUCAUUAAAUUUUCUCAUCAUACAAAGAGAGCAGAAAAUGAAAUUAAAUAAAUGAAUUUCAUUUGUAAUUUCCCAAAAAUUUUGUAUAUUAAUGUUUUAGUAAAUAAAAAUUUAAAUGACUUGAAGGCAAUGAAACAGUUCUGACAAUAAUACAUUGUCCUUCCCUAAAUAAACCCAACAAAUUUAAGGGCACCCCUAUAAUUUUAGGCCUGAUUUGGACCAAAAAGAGAAGAAAAAUAAAGAAAAAUUCAAUGCAAUAGAAUAGAAAAUAAAUAAAUUGUUACCUGUAGGACCAGGAGGGGUUUAUGAAGACCCUCAAAGUUCAAGACUUGGGUGUAUGGCACCAUAUCCUUCAUCAUGCUUGUGCACUCCACAUCUGUUAGAUCAGAGACACUGAUCUGAUCAGCACUUGCUUCCAACACUUCCACACCCUCCAUUUCAUCAUCAUACACAACCUUAAAGACCCCAUCUUCGUCCUUCUCAAGCUUCCCAGCCAACUGAUAAAACUCUUCCAAAACUACCCCUAACCCAUCCUUCAAUCUACCCACCAUGUCCUCAAAGUCAGACCCCUUGUAGAAUAGCAGCUUUUGGUUAUAGUAAAAGGCCAAAUAUGGGAGAUCAAAUGUGAUCAACUGACACUCUCUUCUCCCAAGCUUCUUAGUGGGCAUAAUGUGGGACUUUCCAUGGACAGACACCUUCACAACCUCAUCUUCCUCCUUCUUCACAACUUGAUCAGCUGCCAUGGUUGAUGAGAUGAAGAACCCUAAAAGCAAAGGAGAGAGAGUAGAGGUUUGGGGAGUGAAGAGAGAGGGAUUAAGGGAUAUACUUAUAGGGGAGUUUUCAUUUGAUAUGGUUGGAAGGUGCAUUUAUGGAAUGCAUGAGAGCAGUUGUAGGCCAUUUAAUGGCUCUUUUUUCUCCUCUGUUAGUCUGGGUGGAAGUUGAGUAAAGACGCUAUGGAAUGGCUGAGCACAGCUCCACUUUCUCUCUCUCAGAGCCUUUAAUGUAAUUUCACUAUCUUCUUUUUGAAAAGAAACAAAAUCUCAAUUAAGGCACCCUGGGCCAGUGGCUUUGACAAUCGUUACAAAGAAACAAGUUUUUGGGGGCACUUUCUAGCUAUAAAACUUUUUAGUAGACAAUAUUCUGCCCAAGAGAAAACCCAAAUCAUUCUUGAAUUUCAAGGCUCAAUUUGACCUAACCAUAACUCCCUGCAUUUAAAAGAUUGAUACGUGGUGGGAAAUACCCGUAAUAUCAUUUAUAAUGAUCUGUUUUCUAAAGCAUAGGUAUUAUCGACUUAAGAUAUAAGUUCAUACAUGUUGUUUUUAUGUAAAAUUUCUAAUAUGACUCGUAAGGAACUUUUUUUUUUGUUUUUAUAUUACCUUUUAAAAGUUAUGAUUUUGUCUUUAACUUCAACUUCUAAUAGUCAAAACUACGAAACUAACCAAACCAGAACUUAGAAAAAUAUCGAAAAUUUCUUUUCUUAAUAGACAUGAAAUCUUGUACCAAGGUUUCUAAAUUACCUUUAUGCCCCAAGUUUUUCCACAAUAAUUAGUCCUAGUCUCUUAGAAGAAGAAAUUUGAUUUUGAUAGGACUAUGUAUGCUUUUUCAAAAUUGGGGUUGAGUGAACCAUUGACAGGAACCUCAUGGACAUAGAAAAAGUUCCCAAAUGUGACCUUCAUCAAUCCAUUGCCAAAUGCAGACCUAAAAUUGAUGAACCCAUGAGGUUGUAAAAUUAAUAAGUUGUGAAAAGUGGUUGACAGUGUACACUUUCUUUGUUAAGAAUUUUUCAUUUUGGGAGUAGGGAAAACACAUGGAGAGAAGUAUUGAGUUGCAUGGGUAAAAGGGCCAUCCCCAACUUCAUUUGCAGCUAAUUUUCAUGGGCUUGAACCAAUUAAAAUUACUCAUCUUUAUGGUCAUGGGGGGCUGAGGGGUUGUUGAGGUUUAAAUGUGUCCCUUCCGACUCCUUCUCUGAAUGACUCAGUAUGCAACUUAGUGUGAACUACUUUAGAAUUCAUUUCUUGUCUUGGAAGAGGCUGUCAUGUGUGAUUCAUUUAUGCCACUUUGGAUCCUGUUUUAUUGGUUUUUAAAAGCUAGAAUGCUUUCAUUUCUUUUAAGAGAUUUUAUUUUGUGGGCAUUUGGGAUGGUUGUUAAUUUUUUUGGUCUGCAUUUGUAGUAGUAUGAUAAUCAAAAGUUAGAUAGUGUUUUUAUAUGUAUUAUGCUUGAGCGAUAAUGUCAAGUUACAUGAUCGGUAUAGUGAAAUUUAGACUAUUAUAUAAAGAUACAAACAAAUGAGAUUAGAGAGAGUGCACAUAUGACACUGUCUGAUUGAUGGUGUUUUCUCCAUAUUGUAUUGAAAAAACAAAAAUACGUUUUUUUUUUCGUAUCCGGCUUUAAAAAAGCAAAAAACAUGAACAUCUCUUAUUUUUCAAAAUAAAAUAAACCACAUAAAGAAGUAAGAAAAAAAAAAAAACCUAUCAUGAGAAGAUUUUACCCGUCUUAUUUAUUUAUUUUUUUAAGGUGUGUUACUUAAAACAUAGUUUUAAAAGGAUGAUCGUAAAAAUAUGAGUAGCAUUUUGAUAUUAUUAAUUUAAAAUAAAAAUUUUGGUUUAACUUCAAAUUUGACAUUAGGGUCAUUAAAAUAGAGGUAAAAUGUAGAUGUGAAAUUAAAAAUAUUUAUUUGAUAUUCCUAAUUAAUGAAAAUAGCAUUAUUUUCAAUUAAUGGUUCAUAUGAAAGGGUUCACUUCAAGGGACCUCCCACAUCUACCCCAUCAAUGCUAUUUAACAUUAAGAAGAUGGUGCCCUCUCUUUGGGUGGAUGGGUCAUGCACUCUAUAGGUAAUGGAAAAUGACUUGUUAUUCAUUGACAAUUUGACAUACAAGGCUACACCUACAUCUUGGAAUUUCAAUUUCUUCUUCAUUUCUUAUAAUGGAAUUUGAAUAUCAAAAUUUAUGGUGCAAAAAACAAUAAACAAAAUUGAAUUUGGGUCCUUAAAAUAAUAAAUAACUAAAUAAAUAGCUUUCUUGAUUGAGAAUUGACAUGUCAUGUGGGAUUUUUUUGGCCCUAUUGCUUCUUGCCAUUACUACAUGACUUUAGACUAUAGUUGCUUUUUGAAAAUAAAUUUAAAAAGGGGAUAUUAAUUAUGUAAUUUUUUUUCUCUUUGGUUAAAGAUGAAGGGUCUAUUUGGUAAUUAUUUUGAAAAAAUAGUUUUUGAGAACAAUUUUUGAAAACUAUUAUUUAAUUUUUGUAAAACAAAAGUUUGUUUAAAAACUUAAAUUUUUUUUAACUUAUUUAAUAUUUUAAAAUAUGUUUUAAAAAGAAAUUUUAUAUCUAAUUCUAUAUAUUUGUAAAAUUAUUUCUUAAAACAACCCUCAAAAAACAAGUAAAAAUAAUAUAAAACAAUUAAGAGAUGUUCUCUGAAAACAUUUUGUUUUCUAUUCUAAAGAUUACCAAACGUGUUUUCUCUAUUUUUUGUUUUGAAAAAUAGAAAAUUAUUCUAAUAAAUAUUUCUCAAACAAGUUCGAAAAUUCUCAAUUUUUUUUUAUAAAAAAAUCAUAAUGUCAUAAUAAUCACAUUGACAUUUAGUGGUAUGUUUUCAAGAAAUGGUUUUUAAAAAUCAAAUUUAGUAAUAUUUUGGGGUGUAAAGUAUUUAUUGCUUGUAGUUAAUGAACCAAUAAAUCACAAAAUAUAUGAUAUUGUUUGUUAAAAUUCUCAAAUUUAAUAUAGCUUUUUAAUUCAGUUUAUUUAUAUACUCUAUCAAACUGAUGAUCAUUUGUAUGCAUUUUCACUUUCUAUUUUUAAAUAGAAAACAUAAUGAUAACAUUUUUUUUUCUAACAUUAAUUUAUGCUUCAAAAAAGGCAUUAUUAUCAAGUUUUGUGUAGUGGGAUAAGGGAUAUUGUUGAGUAUUUAAACCAAAAAUAAGCACCAAAAAAAAAAAUCAAAUCUUUUUUGUUAAAAAAAUUAAAUUUUAUUUUUUAAAAUAAAAAUAUAAGGCCCGUUUAGCCAUGUUUUCUAAAAUUAUUUUUAAGUUAAUAACAAAAAACUGUUUUUAAAAAUAAGUUUUAAAAAAAAGGUCAAAUGGGCCAAUAUUUUCCUUUUGGUUUUUAAAAAGGGUGAAAAAUUUUCCUACUUACUCUCUAAAAAUUAUUAUCUAUUUCAUUUUAUUUUUAAAAUUUAUUUCCAAAAAAUAAUAACCAAUCAAUGUUAGAAAUUUUUAAAAACAACUUAAUAUUUUUUAAAACAAAAAAUUGUUUUUAAGUCACACCAUCAAAUCAGGCUCAUAGACUCAUGAAAAUUGUUGUUUGAAGUUUUGUAAAAAUAAAUAAAUAAAUAAAAGUUUGGAACUUGAAAUGUUUUUGUCUUAUUUUUUAUAUUUUUAAAUAUUUUUUUUUAAAAAAAUUAACUUUUAUAAACAAGUCAAAAACUACUAAAAAUGUUAUAAUAAACACCCUGUCUCCGAUUUUUUCUUUUCCUAAUUACCAAAUAUGUUUUCUUUUAUCUUUUUAUUCUCAGCAUCUAAUAAACCAACAUAGUGUUGAUAUUCUUUUGUCAAUAUUUUUUUUUUCCUAUUUUUUGUUAUGUUAUUGGUAACCGACUAUUUAUUAAGCACAUGGCUCCACUUGAAAUGACCUUAUUUGAAAAUUACACAUUAAUUAAUGGUAUCCAAACCUACUAAGAUUUUGACUUGCCAACAACUCAUUAACCAAAAACUCAAACUAUUUUCUAUGUACGUACUUUCUUUCAUGGAAUCCUUUUUCCUCGUUGCCCAUGGAUAGCAACCACUAUAUAUUGAAAAGGGAACGUCAGCUCAAUAUUGAUAGCAAUAGAUCACCAUGGAAAUUGCCUACCACUCUUCUAUUUCUCACAACCUUGUUUCUUCCAAAAUAAAACAAAAAAAAAAAAUGAUAAUUGCUUUCUAAUCUAUGAAAAAAAUUUGGAAUACUAAGGUAAUUUUUAAGUCUUGAAUCAUUUUACGGUAAUAUUUUAAUGAUUCUUUUUCUUGUUUAUAUAUAUUUUAUCUCAUAAAUUACUCGAAGUUUGGUUUUCGAGAUUGUUAAUAUGAACAAGGGAAAAAUAGGUUUUGAUUCACUAAUUUGAAAAAAUAUAGAAAAAUGAAUCUCGACUUUUAUAAAUUAGUUUUAUCUUCAUCCAUUUAAAAAUAUUUUAAAAUAUAUGCACUUUUCAUAAGUCAGACAAUUAUUUCCUAAAAUACCCUUUUACUUGAUAAUGUUAAAUAAAAUUAUCAAAAAAAUAUCAUUUUAAUUUGAUAAAAAUAUCUUAUAAAUAAAAGUAUAUGACAAUAAGUUUUAGUUGAAACAUACGUAUUUAUUUCAAACAUGUAUUUUCCUACUAAAAUCUUUACAAUGCGAACAAAUAUAGGUCAUAAGUCUAAAUAGAGAGGAUGCCCAAAACGUUCUCGUGUUAUGCUUGUACAUUUAAAUGUUUAUGAGAUUAUGAAAUAAUAAAAUUAGUAAUAAAAGUUUAGCUAACCUAUGGUUAUUUGAAGAUUGUAACCAAUUUUUUUAUAUGAAGUAGGUAAGUGAUGAGAGGUGGGUUUAAGCAAUAAAUGAAAAAAUUCAAUUACCUGAUAAAAACAAUACAUGUGAGCCAACUACUCGACAAGUUGAAAAGAAACAAUCUAUUAGUAUUAAAUGAGUUUAUAAGAUGAAGUACAAACUCGAUGGUAAAGAUAAUCAAUUUUAGACUAGAUUGAUGGCAAAAGGCCACAAAUAGUAGGUAUCUAUAAUUUUUAAGUUCUUAUACUAGUUGCCAAACUAAACAUCAUUAGCAUAAAAAAUUGAACUUGUAAUUAAGAAAAAGUGAAAACUUCACUAAAUGAAUGUUAAAUGAAGAAAAGUUUUUAUUAAACAAAAUAAGCAAGUUUACAAACUAGAAAAUGUAUUAUUUUAGUUAAAGUAAAUGUCACAUACUUGGUAUAGGCGGAAUGAGAUAUUUAUUUAUUGUAGCAAAGUUUUCGAAAGUGUUCUUCUAAUCAUACACUCUGCACAAAAGUUAAAUUCUUAUAGUGAUAUAAUUGUUAUAUACCUAUAUAACAUUAUUUGAUUUUUAUAGGAAAUCGUCAAGAGAUGAUUGAAGAUUUCAAAGGGAUGUUUGAAGAUUUCAAGGAGAUAACGAUCCAAUAAUUUAAGAUAAUAAAUUUGGUACUAAUGUCCUAUUUUCUUAAAAAUCGAGGCCCAAUAGGAUAAUGAUAUCUUUAUCUUACAGAACAAGUGUAUCAUACACAUUUUAGAAUGAUUUAUGAUCAUUAGUAAUAACUUGCACUCCUACUACAAACUGAUUAAAAAUAAAAAAUAACAAAAUAAAGGACAAAAUAAUUAAUAAAUUUCACAUAUUUCAAAAUCGUAGUAGGAACUCUUUACUAUUUUAUUUCUACUGGAUCGAAUAUGCUUUAAGAGUAGAAAUUACUAGUAGAUUAAUGAAAAGAAAUAUAUGUUACAUUUGUGAGCAGUAAGUUUAGCAAUGACACUUGUGAUCAUGAAAUUUUAUACUCCUAUUUGAGCAACUUCAUUUUGGUGUGCGACAAGGUUAAUAAUUAGAGCAACUUUGAAAUAUGUCGAGCAAUUUAGCUUUAUAGGAUACUUAGUAAGUUGAAAUAUCGACAAAAAGAUCCUAUAAAGAUUUUGUAUGAUAAUAAAUUUAUUAUUGCAUUGCCAAAAAAUUUGUUGUUUUAUGAUAAAGGCUAACACAUAUGCAUCAAGUUUGAUUACAUUAAAAAACUUGUGAAAUCAAGCUCGAGUUUUGUGGAACAAAUUACAGAUAUUUUUAUAAAACUACCAAUAUAGAACAUAUUUGAAAAAUUAAAGAUGACAUAAGAUGUAAUUAGCUUUAAAGUUCGGGUUAAGGAAAGUUAUUGAAAAAUUUUAAGAAUUAUUAUUUAUUUAGGUUUUUAAUAAUUCAUAUAUAAUCAAUUUAUUAUAUAUAUAUAUAUAUAUUGAAAUAAAUUGUGAAAUCCAAUAUAAAAAUUGGUGACAUUAUUUUUAAUAAUAAAAAUGAAAAAUAAAAUAAAUUAUUUUGAUGAGCAAGUGGGUGGACCCUGGUCCAUAAUCUCCUUCACCACAAGGGUUCUCCCUCUAUUAAUGGUCAUGAAACAUAAGUAUAAAUGCUCUUCUAGCUCAUCUAGCUGCUGGCUAAAGUUAGAGUCAUUCUCCUUCAGCUGGCGCGCCACUUCUCCACUGGCUUGCAGGUUAUCCUCUUUAUGCUCCAACCAAAACCUAACCAUUCCACUUAUAUGCUCCAGCUCAUUGUUUAGCCUGGCCACAAGCCGGCUUAUCAUGUCCAUAUCCUUGUUCAGUAUGUAAGUUCCUUUGGCAGCUGCGUCAAGCUGAGCCGACCGCCUGGCUAAUUUCCUAGUCGAGGCUAACUCAAAUGAAGCCGCUAUGAGACCUGGUGCAGCCACCAACAUUGCUAAGGCGUGAGUUGUGGCGAUUACAGCCACCGAAGCCGUUAGCGCGACAAGCAAAAUAGCUGAGCCGCAUUUUAUGCUUUUGACGAGCUGGAGCUUGGCUCGAGCCUUGUCACGUCCUAACUCUAACCGCUUGAGUAAGCCAGAGCAGCCGGUUUGGAUGACCCGAACCCGAGCCAAUAUUACUGGAAAGCGGUUUACGGGUAGUAACUCAGUGGCUCCAUGAGAUUCCAGGGUGGAUUUCAAGGAUCGGUACCAAACACGUAUACGGUUAAUAUCCUUUAGCAGAAGGCUACACAGGAAAGAAGCGUUAGCCGUUUCAGAAAAGUAUUCGGCUAGAAUAGAGUGGUUUUUGGGUCUGCUUUGAGCCAAAGCCAAUAGUUGAGUGACAGUGGGUUGGUCCGGAUCUAAGAGAUAUUCAGCGAAGAGCCGGUAGGAUGAGAGCCGAGCCGCAGUGGUGGACUCUAUGGGAAUUGACGUGGCGCUAUCUCCAUGGGUUAGAGUAAGGACACGUGUCCAAAACUCAAUGUAUGAUUCAGUGCGGAAGGCAUUAGCAUAUUCUUCGCGAUAAUCCACAUAAUUAGGAAGAUUAGGAGGGUUGGAUCCGGAGACUGCAUGAUAAAAAACAAAAUGGGAUAUCACAAUCUUUUAAUUUGUCACAUCAUACUAUGUUAAAUUACAACCCGACAUCAACAAUUUAAUCCAAAAACCAAUUAAUGUUUGUUAAAAAUACGGUAAAUCUUUUAUGAUAUUCUGCAUCGCACCUCAUUGAUUUAUUUUAAUAGACAUUAUUUAGGUGGUCCAUUUCCCGAUUUAAAAACGAUUCUUAUAACUCAAACUCAUUACCCUUAACCUAAUAUCAAUUAUUGGAUCGGGUUUUGAUCGAUUUUUUACUCCAAUACUAGUUUUUGGAUCAAACUUUCACUAUCUAAUAUAACUAUCAAUUUGCAUUCAACAAAAAUAAAUCAAACCUUUUAUAAUAUUCAACAUAACAAUCAACAGUCGUAUUCUAAGGGUACACCCAAAAGGACAUUACUAUAUCAAAAAAUUAGGAUGUUUUCAUAUACUAAAUUAUCACAUUUCCUCAAAACGAAAUUACUUUCAACUAUUGAAUACCACUCUAAUAGUGAAAAAUAUAAUUAAUGAAUCACAUGCAUAGAAAAUCAUACCAAAGUACUUGCCCUAUCCAUGAUAUAAAGUCUUAACACAAAUUAGGGCAAUCAACUUCUGAAAAAUGGGCACAUGGUACAUACCAUGGGACACCCUGUUCUUCAGUACAGGGCUUCAAUGGCAUUAGUGGUGAUGUGAGACUACUCCUAGACCCCUGUUCUCUCUUUUCUUUCAUUCCGACUAUCUUUGGAAGACAUGGGGCUGUGGGGGAUUCUGGUUGUUGGGUUAUGCUAACCCUAGCCAUUCUCAAUCAAUGCUCUUAACUUCACUCAUGUUGGACCAAUUUCUAUUUCUCACAUUUUGUACCCACUAAAUUUCUAGGGUAGAUGUGGCCUGUUUGGGCUUAUUUUGGGUUCUUUUUUAGCUCCCUAGGGCCUAGCCAAUUUGCCACUUUUUCUAUCAUUUUAGAAAUGACAAUGAUUUUUUUUUUUCCAAAAAAGAAAACAUUUUUAGUAUAUUUUUCUUUAUUGGAAGUAGAUGGUAAUUUAGAACUAUACAAUUUAUUCUACAAUAAGAUAAAAUAAUUUUAAUAAAAACUAGUGUUGAACCUACAUUUCACCAAACAUGAAUUUGUUGAGUUGAAAUAUUAAAUCGAUGUAAUUUAGAAAAAUAAUUAUAACUUAAGACUAUGUUUCGUCUAUGAAAAGUAUUAAAAAAAGAAAAAAGUUAUUAAUUUUUUUUCUUAAAAUAACUUUUAAUAGAAGGGACUUCAAGAUUUAUUUUAAGGGAACAAGGGAAUAAAUUUUUUAUUUCAAGUAGUUGAAAACAAAAUUUUAUUUAAAAUUUUUUAAUUUCAUAUUGUUAAAUAUUUAUAUUUUAAAAAUAUAAAUUAAAUUAUUGAUAUAUUCUGAAAAGGAUACAUUUUUUGAAAAAAUAUUUUUGAAAGAGUUUUCUAAAGCCUCCUAUUAGACAUGUAUAAAAAGAACCAUUGGUUUUUUUUUUUUUUUUUUUCUAUUUUUAAAAGUAAAAUUAAUAUUAUUUUCUGUGGUGAAAUAAAUCUAAAUAUCAAAAAGUUAUGAAACUGCCUCUAAGAAAAUAAUUGAGAUGAUUUUUUCUUUUCUAACCAUGAAAAGAAUCAGACACUACUUUGGGCCAUUUGUAUGGAUUAAAAUGGGCUCCUAUGGGCCUUUGUGGCCCAUUUAAAACUUUUUCAAUAGGAGUAUCUUAGGCCUUGGCUCCAUACGUGGUAGCCCAAAUCCUUGAGCCCACCCAGGCCUGUGAUGGUGGCAUGAAUGGGAGAAAAAUAAAGGCUAGUGUAGAUAAAAUAAAAUAUAAAUAAAAAAUGAAAGUAUAUAUUUUAAGGACAAAUUCAGUCUGUCAGUUUAUUAAGACCUUGUUUGGAUUGACUUCUAACAAGUAAAAAUAUAUUUUUUCAUCUCUUGACGUACAUAAAUUUAUCAAAAAAUUUAUUAUUUAAUAAAAAAACUUAAAAUAAAGGGUUAAUCGAUUAAAAGGGUCAUUAAAAACCUAAUUUUUGAAAUUCACCUUUUCAUCAUUUUUCUAGCUUUAUCUGGACAAAAAUAUUCUCGUAUUUUUCUCGUAAAAAUAACCACUUCUUUUAAAACCUACAUAUAAAUACUUGAAAUAUUAAAGGUCAUUUAUGUCAAAAAUUAAUUACUUUUCAAGUAAAAAUAUGAAAAGUUAAAUUUACAAAUUUGAAAAUUAUUUUAUCCCUUUUAAUCAAGUAAUUCUAAAUAAAAAUAAGCACAUAAUUAGUUCUUAUAAAAGCCCUGUUUUAAAUGAAAUAUAAAAAAAUUUUGAUUUAAAAUUAAAUUAAAUAAAAAUGAAAAAUAAAAGUAAAAAAACGAAGAAAAAAAUAGGUGUAAAAUCAAUAAUUUUUUCUACAUGCUAACCUAAACUUUUUUUUACUCAUUUUAGCUAUUUUAUAUAAAAAUUAAAUAAUUUAAAAAUAAAUAACUUUUUAACUAAUUUUAAUUAUAUAUUUUUUAUAACUAAACUAUAUACGAGAAAAUCACUAUCUUUAAUAUUUUUUUUUCCUUUUGUUUUUAUUGAUAUUUUCAUAAACCCAACAUAAUCAAAAUAUGAAAAUGAAUAAAUAAAUACAUGAAUAAAAAAAAAAAAUUGCAUACCAGAGCAUGAAAGGAAUUUUCGGAUGCAAAUGCUGAUUCUUUUCCUCAUUCUGCUUCUUCAAAUGCAAAAUUCAGGUCAGAGAUGAAGAAAAUUUGGCUUCAAUGGUUGGAUUCUACACAAGUCUGGAGAAGGAAGUGAAAGGAAAAUGGAAAAGGGCUCUUUAUAAACCAAGAAAAUAGUUUCUUGCUUUUGCUUGUGGGAAAGGUGAGCUUGAAGUGCAAGCCAAGGACUUGCCUACAUUUUGAUACUUACAAGGAAAAUGCAAAUAUUUGAUUAUUAUUAUUAUGAUCAUAUUUUCCGGGGAGUGAACUGUUUGGAAGGAUGGAAAAUUUUGUGGGAAAGCUUAUACACGUGGGAUAAUUUGUAUAGUUCUAGAAAACAUUAAUGUGCAAUCGAAGUCUAUGGAGAUAGAUUGCUUGUUUUAACCCACCACCCAUAAUAUUAUUUUCUUAAUUGAAUGAAAUAUGCCAUAAAAAGAAAAAUAAAAAAAAAUGAUUAAAAAGAAAAACUUAUCAUAAAAAAAGAUGAAGAAGCAAUAAACAUUCGAAUAAUGUAUAAAAUCUUGCUUACUAGAUCAAAUAUGGGAUAUUAGGUUGAAAGCGUUAAAUCAUAAAUCCAAAUACUAAGUGAGUAUUUGGUAAAUCAACUUAAUAGCUUAAAGUGAUUUAAUAAUUAAUUUAAGUUAUUAAGUAAAUUAAGUAUGUUUGAUAAAACAAAUUAAUGAUAUAACUUAAAAUAAAAAAUAACUUGAAGUAAUAAGUAAAAAUAAUUAACUUAUUAUUAAGUCUACAUCCCUAUUUUUACUUUUUUACCCUUAUUUGUUUUAAUUACUUCCAUAAUUUUUUUUACUACUCCACGACACCUUUAUUGUUACUUCAUCUUUUUUAUCCUAGUUAUAAUUUAUGAGGAUGAAUAUGUUAAUUUAAUGAUUUAAAAUAAAUUUUAAGUUAAUUUUAUCAAAUAACUUUAAUACUUAAAGUAAAAAUUAAAUAGUAAGUUUUAAGUCAAUAAGUUAAAUAAAAUUUAACUUAAAGUCAAUUUAAGUCAUUAAAUAAGUAUUAAGUCUUAACAAAUACCCCUAACAUUCACUUAGUAAAAAUAUAAAAUAUUUAAUUACUCAAGUAUUGGUUUGAUUAUAAUUUCUGUUUUUUAUUUUUAAAAUAGAAAAAAAUGAUAACUUUUAUAAAGAUGUGAAAACUAUCACAAUCUACAUAUAUUGAAAGAGUGAUAACAUUAAAAUUUAUUUACAAAAAUUGAAGUAUAUAAAAAAAUUACUAUUUCAAUUUUCAAAAUUUUCAAAAGUGAUUUUUAAACUAUAAAAUAAUUUAUUUUUAAAAAAUAUCUUACUUUUAUAUGGUAUAUAUUUUAAAAAUAAAAAGAAUAAAAAGUAUACUUGCAUUUAUAUACUAAUUUUAUAUCAUUAUUAAUAUUUACUCAUUUUAUUUUAAAAUAUGUUAUUUAUAUAUAAUUAAACUAUACCUCAACAAGAUAAAGAGGAAGAAAAUAAAGUUAGUAAUCUCACAUCAAUUAUUGAUGGUAUUUGUUCUUUGACUGAAUAGAAAAAGUCAAAAUAUUUAAUUUUUUUUAUUAAGUUAAAAGUAAUUGGUUAAUAUCAAUCAAUACAAGUAAAGUAAAUUUUUUAUCAAUAGAUUUAAUUUAGUCAUAUUGAUCGAUAUCAAAAGAUUACUUUUACUUAAAUUAAAAAAGUUCAAUAUUUUAUCUUUAUUUUAGAAUCAUUGCAAAAAUAUGAAUGAAAUAUAAAAAGUUCAAUAGCUUUGAAAACGAUAGAGGCAUCGAUGACUAUUAAUUUUAUACAUCCGUCAAAUUGAUGGACUAAAAUAAUAUUUUAGUACUUAAUUUUUAAUUUUAUCAAAUACCAUGUUAGUGGAUUAAUUUUUAAUUUUAUCAAAUUCCUUGUUACUUUCAAAUCACAAAUAGUUUACAAAAUUAAUUAAUUUUAAAUCUAAAAAUGAAUUGAAGUUUGUAUCAACUAUGUUUCCUAAUUUCAAACCUUAGUGAUUUAGGAAACCAAGUUUGUAUCAACUAUGUUUCCUAUUCAUGUCCACUUUCUAUUUUCUCUCAUGAGCCAAUUGGAUUACCAUCCAAAAAAAGUAAGAAAAUAAAUAAAUUACACAAAAAUAGAAAUUCUUAGUUUACACCAAAUCUAUGAUUCUAUCUAUAAAUAACUACUAGGACUCAAAUUUAGCUCAAGAAAUUUGAUGUUACUUUCUAUUUCUACUCAGAUUUCCGCUCUAUAUAUUCUCUAAAAUCCAAGGUUUUUCCAGUUUCUGGUUAGAAGAAGAAGAUGGUAAAGCUUGAAGAUAUGGAGGAUGUGAUGAUGAAGAAGGACCGCUGGGAGAAGUUUGAUGCCCUGGUAGAAGUAGCGUUCGUUGCCGGACGGCAAGAGGAGGACGAAGAACGAGAGAAGAAAAUGAGAGAAGAGAUGGAGAAAGCUGUUGCAUUCCUCUCCCUCGCCGCGAAGAAGCGUUGUAAGACCGUGCCGAGACCAUAUCAGCAGCCGAACAUGGAGCCACCUCCGGAGAUGCCGGAGAGAUUCAGAAGGAAGAUAAUGGAGAUGGGGGGAGACAAUGUGGCGUUUGUGAUCGAGAAGAUGCUGUUCGAGACGGACGUGAGCGCGGGGCACAACCGAUUAUCGAUGCCCAUGUGCCAAAUCAGGCAGGACUUUGUGACGAAGGAAGAGAGGAGGAGGUUGGACUCGACGGACGCGAACAUAAAUGGAGUGGAGGUGAUUCUGGUAGAACCGUCCUUGGAGGACGACGAAGUGAUGCUGAAGAAGUGGAAGAUGAAGAGGAACUCGAUUCUGUAUGUGCUGAUAAAGAACUGGAACUCUGUUGUGAAGAGGAAUGGACUGGGUGCAGGGGAUGUGGUUAGGGUUUGGUCGUUUAGGGUUGGGUCGAAGCUGGGUUUUGCCCUGGUUAGGGUUGGAGAUGAGGAACAUGAAGGCAAGAAAGGCAAGUCGACGGGGAAGAAGAAGAAGGAUGGUGGGAGUGGAAGUGGGAGUAAAGGGAAAGAAGUUGAAGACAAUGGUGGCAAUGAGACUUGGAUCCACUAGCCAUGCAUACGUGAUGUGUUCUUAGGGUCAUAUUUGUAAUUUGAGGGGUUUGUUUUUUUUUUUUUUUGGAAAAUUAUCUUACAUGGUUUUUGGGUCCUGUAAGAGUUAGGUCCUGCAAGGGUUUUUGAGUCCUGUUAAGUGUUAGGUCUUGUAAGGGUUUAUGAGUCAUGUUUGGGUUAAGUCACCAAAUUUCAUUGGGAAAAUUUAACUAUAAGAUAGUUCAAAUUUUCUCAAAUUUUCUCAUUUGUUUGCCUUUUUCUCCCAUAGCUCAUAGCCAUUUAUGAUCAUAAUAAUGUAUUAAUAUUGAAACCAAUGUGGCACGAUGGGGGCACCUCUAACUCUAUUAUUUUUGUAGUGAAACAUAGGUAUAUAUGACACAUCUUAUAAUAUAAAUAUAUUAAAAAUAUGAUGUAUUAUGAUAUGAUCAAUUUUAUUUUUUUAUUAAUUAUUAAUGUUGAUUUUUUAUUAUUAAAAUGUUUUCUUGAUAACUUUAUUACAAAGUAAAACAAUUCAAUAUUUACGAAAUCAAUAUAAUAAUAAAUAUAAUGACUUUGUUACUCUGUGCAACCCCUCAAUUCAAACCGAUGCUUGUUGUUGCACCAUGAAAGAUGUUGUAAAGCACGUAUGGAUAAUUGUCUAGACACUUAUGAAUAUUCAAAUCAAAACUGUGAAAGCCUAGAAAAAUACUUGUCUAGACACUUAUGGAUAAUUGUGAUACACUCAUUGACAUUCAGUUAAUAGCAAACCAAUCAUAUAAGAUACUUUUUUUUUGUUUAGUUGUUAUAUAUGUAUACUUAUGAGUUUUAUCAUAAGAAUCAUUGACAGUGAAAAUAGACUUAAUAUAUGAUGUUAAUUCAUUGAUAUAAUGUAUUAAUAUGGGAACCGAUGUGGCGUGAUGGGCACCUCUAACUUUAUUAUGUUUGUCACAUAUGCAUUGACCAAAUUAUAUAGAAAACUUAAUUAUAACACAUAUGCAUUAAACUUAUAAUACAAAUAUGUUAAAAUUAAUUAGGACAUGACCAAAUUUUAUUUUUUAAUAAUUAUCGCUAUUGAUUUUUUUUUAUUAAAAUAUUUUUUUAUAGUUGUUGUUAUUAAUUAGUAGUAUUAUUAUUAUGUUUGACUUUUAAAUCCUUUUCGGGACUUGUAAAAAUAGAUUCCUUAAGGGGACUUCUAAGCUACAUAUGACUUAAAUUAAAGAGUAAAAAAAUGUGAGUACAAUUUUAUUUUAUUUUUUGUAUGAAUUAAAGAAUAAAAAAGUAGUGGACAAAUUUUAAUAAAAAAUGUGAGUAUGAUUUUUGUGAUAUUCUUUAAAUUAAAGAAUAUAUAAUCUUCUGAUUCAACCUCUUGAGGAUUCAAAUUUGGCAAUUAUGUACUUUUGCUUAACUUAAUCAAGGGUUGACUAGGCUUGAUCUUGACUCUUCCACAUCAAUAGUUGAUUUGUACCAAAAUAUAUACUUAUAAAAACACUAAUGAUUGCGCUCUAGACUCGCAACGGGGACAAAUCACUAUUUAUAUCUUAGAUUAGUGUUAAUAUCCAUUUUGAGAACUAAUGCACUAUUUUUUAAUAAACAGACAAAGAAAAGGAGAAAUGUGAGAAUUUGAUGCUAUUUUGACAUAUGAAAUAAAAUAAAGGUACGAAUAUAACGCAUAAAGAUGUCCUAGUAUUUAUUGAAGUGGAGAAAGUGGAGUAAAGCAAGAACAAUCACAAAAGCAUAUCAAAUUGGUUUAAGGAGUAUUAAAAUUGAUUUGAGGUCAAACUAAUAACAAAAGAAAUGAAGUAACACAAACCAAUGCCCAAAAUUAAUAUUCCCAUUUCAAAACCAAUUCAGGAGGACAAUGAAGAUGCAUUAGUAGUAAUUCGCAUUCAAAUUCUGAUUUGUAAAGCUUUAAAUUAGUUUUGACGAUUCCACUUUAAAGAGAAAUUGGUUUCACUAGAGCUUCUUGCAAGUUUCCCAUUGAAAUUCAUAUUUGAGACUUUACUUUUGUAAUUAUGGUUUGUUAGAUAUUACUUUUGUUAAAGUGGCCAAUGAGGUUAAGUGACAUGUACUUUUAGGGUUAGAUUAUACAUACUUUUCAUUAAUGGGUUAAAAGGAGAGUGUAGUUUUAUAUUUGGAUUUUCAUGUUCAUAUGUUGAAGAUCUUUUGCUUUAUUUUCAAUAAUACCAUAGGUUCCUUAUUAUCUUAUGAAAUUUGUGUGAAAACUCAACCAUGAGAGGCUAUGAACCUUUCUUCUAGCAAUGUAGCAUAAAAGGUGGAGGAUUGGGACAAAGGGCAAUGAGUAUAGUAAGGCUACAUUGGUAGAUUAGGGUUUUGAUGUUUAUUUUGAGGUAAUGAGAUCCUUGGUAUAGUUUGGAUUGGGUGAAAUAUAGUAGAUGCUUGUUUAAGGUACUACUAAUACCUAGACACCGGGUAAUUAAGUCUAAUCCCAAAUAUAUAAGAUGAAUAAAUAAUUUGGAUAUAUGGACAAAUUUAGGUUUUGUCAGAUUUAGAGUCAUAGGAAAAGUCUUAUCAAUCUAUAAAAGUCAAUUAUGUCGAUAUCAGAGGAGGGUAUCCGAAUAUGACACGAUGUUCUUUUCUUCUCUAGUUUUUAUUAGCCAAAAUUUCUAUGGAAAUAAAGAAAUUUAUAGUAAAACAAAAAGUAUGAAUCAAGAAAAUGGUGUCAUCCCCAAUGACCAUGAAAAUAAGUUUAAAGUGAUUAUAUUAUUUUCAUAUAUCUACCCAAUUUCAUUUAUUUUAUUUUUUAUUUAAACAAUGAAAAUCUUUCAAAUAUAUAAAAUAUGUAAGUUUUUAAUUUUUUUUGGCAAGCCCAACCCACAUUGCCACCACCUUAAUCAUUGUUUUCUAGGGGGAAAAGCCCGUCUAAACAAGCCCAUAUCACCACAGUUUGGGCUCUACCUUUUGACCCCAUCUCGGAUGAGUAAUGCAUUUAAAGGCCUCCCUAUUCGUCGUCCGAUGUGGGAUUGGUGAUAUUAGUUUAAAGAAAAACAAUGAAAGAAAAUCCCACCAAGUUUAAGAGAUAAUAUGGGCACCACUCGCCCACACACUUUUUAAUGCUAAGCUUAGCAAACACAAAAAAAAUAUCAUUUUCUAAAAAAUUUUAUAAUAUUAAAUAAAAACAAUGUAAUAUUUUUAAAAAUCAAGUAAUUAAAUUUUCUCUAUUUUUAAUAUAUUCAAAUUUAAAUAUUAUACAUAUUUUAUUUAAAUAUAAUAUCACAUAUUCGAUGACUAAUUUAACUAGUUAGUUAUGAAUCAAUAAUUUUUUUGAUUUAAUAUUCCGAAUUUUAUUUUAUUUUUUUCUCCUACUAUACUCAUACAAUAAACACACGAUCAAUUAAAUAAUUUUUUAUACUUUGAUAUCAUUUAUUUAAACUUUGAUUUGAAAAUCAAUAAAUAAAUAAUAAUAAACCUAGAAUCUAGAACCUUCCAAAUGGAAGACAAAGUGGAGCAUGUUGUGGCAUUAUGCUCAAUUUUGAGAAGAAAUUCUGUAGAAGGCAGUUAGAUGCCUAAAUUCAACUUAAAGCAUCUUUUUAUUAAUUAUUAUCAUCCCCUCAACCCCCUCUCCACUCACUUUUACGAUUCGCCACCUCCACUCAUUUCGGUCUCCCGAUUUUUUACUUUCUGUUCAUUUUCUUACGUAAUAUUAAAAUUAUUCUUACACAUAAUAUAAAUUAUUUUCUUUAAAAAAAAAAUACAAUUUCCAGCGUAAAAAUAAAAGCCUUAAAGAAGUCUGUAUUACAAACCCGGCCCAAAAAGGGCAGUUUUCCGGACAAAUUAUUUGUCCAACACCAUUAUUGUUCAUAGUAUUAUUCGAGGAAGGAGAUGAUCCAAAAUCAAAAGUCAUCACCAUCGUAAUCUUCCAAGUCAUCACCAUCGAUCCUAUCUUCCACGUCAUCAGCAAUGUGAUCCUCCAAAGCAUCCACGCCCUCCGAUAUUGCCAGCCCACCCAAGACCCCUGCGACUGCGCCCACUGCCAGUCCCGUCCCCAUCCCCAUCCCUGACUUCUUCUGCGGCUGCUCCACCACCGUCUGUCCGUAUGGCCCCUGCGCGUAUGGCCCUUGUCCGUACGCCGGAUCUCCGUAUCUUGGCUGAGGCUGCCCAUAUGCCGGCUGUCUGUAGGGGUCUUGGCCGUAGGGUGGUGCAUUGGAGUAGUAAGGAUCAGGUGGGGGUGCGCCGUAUGGAGUGGCGUAAGCCGGGGAAGCCGCGUAGCCUGCGCCUCUGGUUCCCGCUGGCGGGGGCACGCCGUAAGGGGGUGAGUAGGCAGACCCAGGCGCACGGUAGCGCGGAUCUCUCACAGAGACCUUGACUUCCACCUUGCCAUGAGGGCGGCCAGAGGGGCGGCGGAGCUCGAGAGUGCGGAUGGCCUGGGCGCCGAAGCCGACGUCAUCGACGACGUCGCGGAGGAAGAGGCGAGCGGAGCCGACGACCGGCUUGGUGUCGUCUUCGUCAUCGGCUUUGAGAUGGACAACGUCGAGGUAGAGUGUGGAGUCUUCGAUCCGGGAGGGCACUGGAAUGAGUAGAGUCUCGUUCCAGCAAGGAAAGGUGUCGCCGUCGUUGUCGACUUUGGUGGAGAGCUUGGCCGCAGGAUCCACCCAAACCACGACGUAUGGCUUCAGAGAGCCGUGACGCCAGUUGACGUUCUUCAGAUCUUUGGCGGAGGAGAUAAUCAGCUCUAUCUCGUAGCGACCAGCCAUGGAAGGGGCAAUAAGGGAAAAAUAAUGGAGAAAAUGGUCGGACUGUCGAAUGGUUGCUAGUCGUGGGUCAAGUAUUUAUAGGCUUUAAUGUCCGCUUGUCCUUCGAAAAUCUUGUCCCUUUUACCGUUAUACCCUCCUACCCAUGUUUGAAAAAAAAAAAAAAAACAAAUAAGAAACAACUUCUCUGUAAGUCAAAAGACAACAUUUUUCUAAUUUUAAAAUUAAACUAUUUUUGAACGUUCGGUGAGAGGGUAUUUUGGUAAAAAAAUAUGACAGAGGAGCUCAACUGGGGAAGGGCAUAAUAGGGAAAAGACUAACUAGGGAAAGGGUUUGGGCCCCACGGAUUGCUUUCUCACUAAGCAUCGAGAUUGUCCUGAUGCUCUGUCUUUAUGCGCACUCGAUGGUUGCGGAAUUCUAUUGGUGUAACCGGAUAAUGCCGGUGUCAGAUGUCAAUUGAGAGGAGAUCGGCGUUGUCCACACGAGGAAUAUUCUCGCAUGACAGAGAAAGGUCUCGUAACGAGAUUGGUCCUACGCGGAAUAGACACGGCGUCACUUGGGCCGGACCUUGUCAAUUUUGUAUCUUUUAGGCCCAAAAAGUGGGCCACCAAGGCAGCCCAUGGGCUUGUUGCAAGCCCACUAUUGCCAUCUUUCAUCUACUUCACCAGGAAAAGUUCUUGAUUUCUCUUCCAAGGUGGAACCGUUGAACGUCCAUGAUUAUUUGUCAUGAUUAUAAAGCAAUAAAAAUUUUAAUUUAUUUACUUAUGAUGUUUUUAUUCAAUUUAUAUGAUCAUAAUGUUAUUAAGUCACUUCUUUUGUUAUAUGUUUCUUAAAAUCAUUUGAAAAUUCAAUUUCUAAAGUCUUAAAAAUAAAAUCACUAGUCUAUGGUCCAUGACUACUAAGUUUUUGCAUUUUGUAUAAAAAUUAUUGUCAAUUUUCUAUUUUAAAAACAAAAAGGCAUAAUCAAUUAGAUGAUAUCAUGUAUGUGCCUUCGAAUUUUAUUCAUUUAUACUUGAAUUUGGUUCGUUCUAUAUUCUUGAAUUUAGAAGUCCCAAAAGAUUCUUCCAAUAUAUCAUUUUCGGUCCAAUGGAAGAAUUUUAUUUUUUAUUUGUUCACUUUUAAAAAAUCGCAUUCCAUUCUUACUUGCAAUAGAAACCCAAAAGAUUCUUCCAAUAUAUCAUUUCUGGGUCUAAUGGAAGAAUUUUAUUUUUUAUUUGUUCACUUUUAAAAAAUCGUAUUUCAUUCUUACUUGCCAUAGAAAAUAUGGGAAAUUGGUUAUGGCCUCAACACGCUAUAUCUCCCCUAAAAAUUUAGUUAUUGUUUGGAUAUAUUUCUUGUAUUUUAUAUGUAGAAAUACAUUUUAUAUAAAAAGUAUGAACUUACCUUAUAUCCUUAAAAAAUAUUUUACAAUUAAACUUUGAAAACUAAGAAAGAUCAAAGGGAAACUAUUUUCUCAUGUUAAAAUAAAAAUAAAAUAACUCCGUUAAUUUGAAGAUGGUUCAUGAUCCUUGACAAUGACACCAUUUUCUUGAUUGAUACUUUUGGUUUUAAUAGAAAUUUCUUUAUUUUCAUAGAAAUUUUGGUCAAUAACAACUAAAAAGAAGAUAAGAAUAGUGUGUAAUAUUCAAAUAUCUUCCUUUGACAUCGGCAUAAUUGACUUUUUAUUCAAUUUAUAUGAUUAUAAUGUUAUUAAGUCACUUCUUUUGUUAUAUGUUUCUUAAAAUUAUUUGAAAAUUCAAUUUCUAAAGUCUUAAAAAUAAAAUCACUAGUCUAUGGUCUAUGACUACUAAGUUUUUGCAUUUCGUAUAAAAAUUAUUAUCAAUUUUCUAUUUUAAAAACAAAAAGACACCAUCAAUCAAAUGAUGUCAUGUAUGCGCCUUCGAAUUUUAAUCAUUUAUACUUGAAUUUGAUUUGUUUUAUAUUCUUGAAGUUGGAAGACCCAAAAGAUUCUUCCAAUAUAUCAUUUCCGGGUCUAAUGGUAGAAUUUUAUUUUUUAUUUGUUCAUUUUUAAAAAAUCAUAUUCCAUUCUUACUUGCCAUAGAAAAUAUGGGAAAUUGGUUACCGCCUCAACACGCUACAUCUCCCCUAAAAAUUUAGUUAUUGUUUGGAUAUAUUUCUUGUAUUUUACACGUAGAAAUAACUUUUAUAAUAACUUUGAUAUAAAAAGUAUGAAUAUACCGUAUAUCCUUAAAAAAUAUUUUGUAAUUAAACUUUGAAAACUAAGAAAGAUCAAAGGAAAACUAAUUUCUCAUGUUAAAAUAAAAACAAAAUAACUCUGUUAAUUUGAAGAUAUUUCAUGAUUCUUGACGAUGACACCAUUUUCUUGAUUGAUACUUUUGGUUUUAAUAGAAAUUUCUUUAUUUUCAUAGAAAUUUUGGUCAAUAACAACUAAAGAGAAUAUAAGAAUAGUGUGUAAUAUUCAAAUAUCUUCCUCUAACAUCGGCAUAAUUGACUUUUUAUAGAUUGACUAAAGUUAGCUUUAAAUCCGAUGAAACCUAAAUGUGUCCAUACAUCCAAAUUAUUUAUUCAUCUUAUAAAUUUAGGUUUAGACUUAAUUAGAAUAGAUCAAAUCAAGUUAACUAAUGAUUAAGUGGUGUCUAGAUAUUGGUAGUAUAUUCACAAACAUCUAUUUUAUUUCACCUAAUCCAGACUACACCAAGGAUCUCAUUAAUUAUCUCAAAAUAAACAUCAAAACCCUAAUCUUCCAAUCUAGUCUUAUUGUACUCAUUGCUUCUUCUUGUCCCAAUCCUCCACCAUCAUGCUACACCACCAUAAGAAAGGUUCAUAGCCUCUAAUGGCUAAGUUUUAACACAAUUUUCAUAAGAGAGUAAGAAAUCGACGAUAUUAUUGAAAAGAAAGCAAAAAGUCUCCAAUAUAUGACCGUGAAAAUCCAAAUGUAAAACUACCUUCUCCUUUUAAUUUAAUGAUGAAAUAUAUAUAUAAUCUAACCCUAAAAAGACAUGUGACCUCAAGGAUGAAAAUAUUGGUUUUUAUAGAUAUAUCGACAACUCAAUUUUAUAGAGAUAUAAGAAAAUAUCGAUGAAUAUUUUGACUCAAAAUAUCAAUAGGACAAAAAUCGAUGAAAACUAGUAAACAUGUUGAAAAAAACUCUAAAAAUGAUAUAAUAAACAAUAAUAAAUAUUUUAAAGUUUUUUUAUCAAAGAAAAUGAUAUUAUACAAUAUAAUUUAUCAUAUUUGAUAAUAAUAUCGUAUAUGUCGAUAACAAAUAUGAAUUUUAUAAGUGUACAUUUAUCAUUAAAUUACAUCAAAUAUUAUUCAAUAAUAAUAUUAUAAUAUUUUAUUAUAAUAUGUUUAAUUUUAAAUAUUUAAUAUUAAAUUUAUGAUUCAUUUAAUUCAAUUGUAUUAAAUAAUAUAAAAUAAAUGAUGAUAUAUAUAUAUAUAUAUAUAUAUAUAUAUAUAUAUAUAUAUAUAUAAUUUUUUAAUAUUUAAUUAAUAUAUUAAUGAUAAUUUUUAUAUUUUUGGUAAUUAAUCAAAUGAAAAAUUUUCAUUUAAUUAUAAUUAAUUUGUUCUUUAAAAUAUUCCUUUAAUGUUUUGUUUAUAUGAUAACUUUAUAUAUAUAUAUAUAUAUACUUGGUGCACUAUGUUUAAAAAAGACAUAUAUAUCAUAUGAUUCAAAAAGGUUAAUAGACGAAGCUAUCUCUUUCUCUAAAUUUAUAGAAAUCCUUUCCAAUCAAUCUGAAUUUGAGAUUAGUUUUAUUUUUUUCCCAAUUUAAUUUAAUGAUUUUCUUGGUGUUAAUUCCAGGCAAAUGCUGUGAGGGCAUAUCGUCCUCAGUGGACGUGCAGGAAAAAGGACAUAUACCCACAGUUCUAUGAGGACGCCAAGGUGUACUGCAAUGGUGAACUGGUGAUGACCACUGGUGGGACUCAGAAGGAGUAUGUGGUCGAUGUCUGGUCUGGAAACCACCCCUUCUACCUCGGGAACCGCUCCGCUCUUCUAGUGGACGCUGAUCAAGUCGAGAAGUUCCGGAAGAAGUUUGGGGAAAUAUCACAGAUUAUGGAAAUUCCUGUCCUCAAAUAUGGAGAAAUCGUGCUACCACCUAAACGCAAAUCUGGUUCUGGUAAAGGGGGAAAGAAGAAGUAGUUGCCCAAUUUCACGGUAAAAAGAAAUAGCCUCUGUUUGGUUGCAAGGAAAAAAAUUGGAAGCAAGUUAUGAAUCUUAUCUGUUUAUUUUCUUACUUUUCUCAGCUUCCAAAUAGGGCAAUUAGGGUUUUGGUUUUCUGUUUAUUGGACAGUGUAAUUUGAUUACUUGUUAUAAAUUUUUUAAAGUAAUCCCUAUUUCGUGUUCAGUGGUAUGUCUUAAUUUUUUUUCUUUUUGAUUAUUAUUAAUUUUAAUUGUAUAUUUUAUUAAAUACUUUAAAAUGUCCUAUAGUCCAAAAGAAUAGUUUUGUCUAGAACCAUGUUCACUGAUUGUGAUGCACUAAGUAAAUAUCAGUCAGCUUACUCUGGGAAACCCCAUUGAGAUUCUGCAGUUCCCAGAACAACAAUAAUAUAAGUAAAUAUCGUUCUAUAUUCUUGAACUUAGAAGACCCAAAAGAUUCUUCCAAUAUAUCAUUUCCGGGUCCAGUGGAAGAAUUUUAUUUUUUAUUUGUUCACUUUAAAAAAAUCGCAUUCCAUUCUUGCAAUAGAAACCCAAAAGAUUCUUCCAAUAUAUCAUUUCCGGGUCCAAUGGAAGAAUUUUAUUUUUUAUUUGUUCACUUUUAAAAAAUCGUAUUCCAUUCUUACUUGCCAUAAAAAAUAUGGGAAAUUGGUUAUGGCCUCAACACGCUAUAUCUCCUCUAAAAAUUUAGUUAUUGUUUGGAUAUAUUUCUUGUAUUUUAUAUGUAGAAAUACAUUUUAUAUAAAAAAUAUGAACUUACCUUAUAUCCUUAAAAAAUAUUUUACAAUUAAACUUUGAAAACUAAGAAAGAUCAAAGGGAAACUAUUUUCUCAUGUUAAAAUAAAAAUAAAAUAACUCUGUUAAUUUGAAGAUGGUUCAUGAUCCUUGACAAUGACACCAUUUUCUUGAUUGAUACUUGUAGACCCCCUUGUUGGCAGGGAGAGGGAGGGGGAAAAUAUUAUUUUUUUUAGGAGAGUGGGUGAGAUUGGAAGUGAUGGAGAGGACGGGAAGUAGCGGGAGAUUUGAGGGGGAAGAAAUCUGGAAAAAGAGAAAAGGAAAGGGGGGAAGAUUUUUUUUGAGGGUUUUUGAGGCUGGCGAUUAAGGAUUGGAGGUUUUGGAAAAGAAGAGAUUUUUUCAGAGGAAGAGAGUAGAGGUCCGGAUUUUUAGAAAGAAAAAAACCAAAGCUGAAAGGGGAGAGGGUGAUAUCUGGAGAGGAGAAAAACAAAGAAAAUGGAGAUAGAGACAGUCUGAAGGAGACGGAAAAAAAGCUGUGCUUGGGAGGAGCCUUUCAGGUAAGAUUUUUUUUGUAAACUUCACAUCUCUUUUUCUCUCUUAGGUACAGUCUUCGAUCUUCAUGCUCACUGUGGGGAUGAGGAAUUCGUUGUUUUUUUGUAGAGAGAGAAAAGAAUUGGGCGGCUGGGGGAUUAUAAGACAGUGGGAUGCUUUUUAAAAGUUUUUAAUUCAAAUUGUUUUUUUCUAGCAAGGCAUUUGGGUUCGUGCCUAUUUUUUUACUUUGAGUAAAGCUCUCAAAGCCAUUUAUAUAUAUUUUUUUAUUAUUCCUUUCUUGCAUGGAAAUCAUAACAUGGCAGAAGACUUUUUGGUGGGCUUGAAUAUUUAUGUCCAUUUUUCUUUCUUUUGCUUUUUGGCGAACACGUUUUCACAAAUUGAAUUCUCAAAACAACUUUCAAAAUUUCAGUUUUUUUAAUCACUUCAAUCUUCAAAUUAAUUUUUCAAAAAUUCUAAUAUCCAAAUUUAAUUUCUAAAAUGUCAUCUUAAAAUAAAUCUUUCAAACAAAUUCUGAUUUCCAAAUUCAAUUCCCAAUUUCUGAAAUUCUAAUUUUUCGACUUUCAAAUUUAAUUUUCAAUUUCCAAAAUUUUAAUAUUCACAUUCAUUUAUUUAAUCAUUACUAUUUUUUGUUAUGAUUAUUAUUAUUCUAUUUACUUAUUUAUCUUAAAAUUCCAUUCUUAAACAUUUUUUCUCAAAAUUUCAAUUUUUGAACUUAAUUUUUAAUUCCCAAAAUUCCAAUUCUUAAAUUUAAUUCCCAAAAUUCCAAUUUUCAAAUUUAAUUCCCAAAACUCCAAUUUUCAAAUAAAUUCCAAAAAUCCAAUUUUCACGUGAACAAUUUUAAUUCUAUUCCGGUUCUCAAUUUUUCUUGGUUUUACAUAAGCAUGAAUGUCAUUUUCAUAAUUUCAGAACAAUGGAAUUUGUGAGAUUAAUUCGUGCAAGAUCAAUCGGGCUUUGGUGGGGGCCCCACAUACGUGAUUUUAUGAUUGAUUGAUUUGUUUGUCACGCACAAUUUAUUUAUCCUGCUCUCCGACAUGCAUGCUAUUAUUUCUUAAUUAUGCACUAACCUCUCUCUUGAUAGCGCAUGGUGGCUCGUCGCCCAGGUACGCACUUACUUUCACUCUGGUAAUUGUCCAAGCAUAUUUUGAUUCUCACGUGUGCAUGAUUUAUUCUGGGUACUCAUUGAUCUACUCGUCCACUGCCCUGAUUGUUUCAUUUUAUUAGUAGAGACCCGUUUUUAGGGACUUAAAAGGGUGCUACGGUUUUUACCGUACCUUCCUGAUAAGUAACCUGACCCCCGAACCCGAUCCGGUUUUUUGUAGAUCACCUUUUCCAAAUAAGGAGUCACACUUAGGGUUUUUCUUUCUUAUUUUGUUUACCCUUUUAAAAAUAAAACAAAAAUAAGUGGCGACUCCAAGUCAUUUUUCCUAAUCAAUAAAAUCAAUUUUUCAAAUAAAAGUCGAGCUCGCCAUCGAAUGGGAAACGCAUUGAGCCGAAAUGCGGGGUCCACAAUACUUUUGGUUUUAAUAGAAAUAAAAUUAUAACUCUGUUAUAAGUGUACAUUUAUUAUUAAAUUACAUCAAAUAUUAUUCAACAAUAAUAUUAUGAUAUUUGAUUAUAAUAUGUUUAAUUUUAAAUAUUUAAUAUUAAAUUUAUGAUUCAUUUAAUUCAAUUGUAUUAAAUAAUAUAAAAUAAAUGAUGAUAUAUAUAUAUAUAAUUUUUUAAUAUUUAAUUAAUAUAUUAAUGAUAAUUUUUAUAUUUUUGGUAAUCAAUCAAAUGAAAAAUUUUCAUUUAAUUAUAAUUAAUUUGUUCUUUAAAAUAUUCCUUUAAUGUUUUGUUUAUAUGAUAACUUUAUAUAUAUAUAUAUACUUGGUGCACUAUGUUUAAAAAAGGGUGAGCUUGGCCCAAUGGCUGGAUAAGGCAUCUUUAUGCGUAAUAUUCAUACCUUUACUUAAUCUCAUAUGUCAUAAUUGAGUCAAAUUCUCACAUUUUCUACUUCUUUUUUUUUUUGGGUCUUUUUAUUAAAAAAUAGUGCAUUAGUUCUCAAGUAUUUAUAGCACAAUCAUUAGUAUCUUUACAAAUAUAUAUUUAAUACAACUCAAUUAUUAAUGCAAAAGAGUUGAGAUUAAACCUAGUGGACCUUGAUUAAGUCAAAUAAGAGUACAUAAUUGCCAUAUUUGAAUCCUUAAGAGGUCGAAUCAAAAGAUUAUACAUUAUUUAAUUUAAUAAUAAUAAUAACUAUAAAAAAAUAUUUUAAGAAUAAAAAAACCAAUAUUGAUAAUUAUUAAAAAAGUAAAUUUUGGUCAAGUUAUAAGUUCAAUGCAUAUGUGUCGUGCUAGAGUUUUAUGACAAACAUAACUCGAGGCACCGACCAUGCCAUAUUUAUUUCUAUAUUAAUACAUUAUUAUCAAUGAAUUAAAAUUUAGGUGUGUUCUUAUUGUCAAUGAUUCUUACAAUAAAGCCGACAAGUCUCAUAUACAAAAAUAAGAGGCGUCUUCUAUGGUUGGGUUGUAUGGGGUAUGGGAGAAAAAGGCAAACCAAUGAGAAAAUUUGAAUAUCUUAUAGUUCUAGUUUCCCAAUGAAAAUUGGCGACCUAACCUUCCUCCCUUCCUCCGUCGAGUCCAGCGACCUCUUCUCUUCCUCCGCCACAAAGUCCUGCCUGAUUUGGCAGAUGGGCAUCGAUAAUCGGUUGUGCGCUGGAAAUCAGCACCAUGGAUCAGCAAAGCUUGGCAGACUGUAAACUCAAAAAUCCUUUACAUAUAUAGCUGAGGCAUGUUUGAUCAACUGGCCCAAGGGUGUCUUAUUUCUCAGGUUCCCUUUACCAAUACAGGUCAAAAUCAAGAAGGAUUAGCCCACCUUGACAUUAUAAUGUUGCAUGGAAAAAGUUUCCCGAGAAACCCAAGAAACUUUGAAAGUUCUAGAAUAACGGGUUGAAGAAUCUUAUAAUUCACCAUAUUUUCUUUUUCUUUUUUGGUAUUUUUAAUUAUAUAAAAAAAGAAUAAUAAAUAUCAUAAAAAUAAAUAUUAAUUAUUAAAUUAAGAAAAUCAAAUAUUAUUAAUAUUUUAUUUUUAUUAAGGAAACAAAUAUUAUUUUUUUAUUUAUGAUUUAUGAAAAUAUUGAUUCUACCAUCAUCUACACUAAAGUGCUUAACCCACGACAAUCUCCUCAUUGGCGUGCUCAAAGUUCCUGCAAAUGUUUCUUUACCGAAGAAAUGUGAAGGAAAAUAAAAUAAAAUAAAAUAAAAUCACAUAAAAAAUAUCAUGAAAUCCAUAAUAUACUAUAUUUUAUAAAUAUAAAAAUAAAAUAUGGUUCUUAUAUAUUUCCAAGUCUAUUUCAAUCAAAGUGUUAUUUUAAACAAAAGUUCAAAGGACUAGCAUUGAAAGACAAAAUAUGAAAAACAACCAUCGCUUCUAUUAUGCCUACUUUUAAUAGAAAAAAUGUAAAUGUUUAUGACUUAUUAGGCUCCAAGCCAAUAAUUCAUUAGUCAAGAUCUCAUUUCGAUACAUCAUUUAAGUGUAAUCUCUUACUAAAUAAUUUGUGAGGGUCAUUUAAUUCAACUUUUGUUGAAGCAAGAUAGAAGCCGAUAUUGAAUAUGCUAUGAGACAUAAGGGAUAAGAACAACGAAUGCAAGGAGGACUUGUAAGAAUAAGUGGGAGAUGUUGUUGUGCCCUAAUAUUUAUAAGAUUUUGGAGAAUGAUAAGAUUAAGGCAAAUAGUUGAAUACCUAUUUGGGUUUGUGAUUUAAAGUUUGAAAUCAAUUGCAUAUGUAGUGAUAGAUAUGUUAUUGAUAUUGUCAAUCAAACAUGCAAAUGCAUAAAUGAGACUUAACCGGUAUCCCUUGUUCAUAUGCAAUUUUAACUAUAUUUGUAGAAGAGAAAUAAUAAGUUUUAAGUUAUCUUUAAAAAUUACUAGACUCGUUAAUGAAUCAAACACAUUAACUCUUACUUAAUGUUUAUUUGUUUACUUAAAAAAAUUGUAAAAGUAUGAUAUAUAUAUAUAUAAAAUAAAUUAACCUAGCCAUUUAAAAUAAAUUUUGAUUUAAGACUUUUUCGUGUUUUUGAGUUUUAUGACUUUUUAGUUUAAUUAAAUCAAUUUUUGAGUUUAAAUAUUUUUUAAAAAAUAAUAAAUUUAUUUGUUUAAUAAAAAAUAUUAAAGAAGUUAAAGGAAAUUCAGAAAAGCAAAUCAUAUUUGAAAAUUUUCAAUACUUGUACAGUGCGGAGAGAAAGUGAGAGAACAGUAUAUUCUGUUCAAUUUUAUGAAAAAUAAAACACCAGUCCAACACCUAAACCUCCAUUAGAAACUCCUUAUCCUUCUCCAACCUUUCCAUUGUACCAGCCUCCAACGUUAUCUCAACGUCAAUGCUUCCUCCCCCGGUCUUCCCCUGAUACAAAUACACCAUUCCGUCAAAUUUGUUGUUCGAUCCACUUCUCACCCUCUCCGGCUUCCCAAACCCAAAGUCCACGUCGUACACCUUGAACCUCGGCGAGCUUCCCACCGUAACGCAGUUCACUCCGGCGUCUUUGAACUGGAAUAUUAUUGGGUUGCUCUCCCACUUAUCGUUGCGUUCGUUGAUGGCUUUCGCGUCGUUCGUUACGAUCGCUUUUUGAAUCAUUGCCGCCGCGAACUCCGGCGGGUUUGCGUAGAGGAGUCCGGCUGCGGUGACGGUGAAGAUGGCUUGAAUCAGGUUGCCGAAGUAGGACUCCGGCAUGGGAGGGUCGACCCUCUUGCGGCAGUUGGCGAAGACGGUGUAGACGGUGACGUCCUCGGGUUUGAGUUGGCGAGCGCGUGUCACCGCGAGCCACACGUGCGUGGAGAGCGAUUGGAAGGAGGAGAAGGGUCUGGAGCCGUCAGAUGGGGUUUUGUUGAG
rnacentral:lncRNA from 1 species